rnacentral:rRNA from 1 species
AUUGAACGCUGGCGGCAGGCCUAACACAUGCAAGUCGAACGGUAGCACAGAGGAGCUUGCUCCUUGGGUGACGAGUGGCGGACGGGUGAGUAAUGUCUGGGAAACUGCCCGAUGGAGGGGGAUAACUACUGGAAACGGUAGCUAAUACCGCAUAACGUCGCAAGACCAAAGAGGGGGACCUUCGGGCCUCUUGCCAUCGGAUGUGCCCAGAUGGGAUUAGCUAGUAAGUGGGGUAACGGCUCACCUAGGCGACGAUCCCUAGCUGGUCUGAGGAGAUGACAAGCCACACUGGAACUGGGACACGGUCCAGACUCCUACGGGAGGCAGCAGUGGGGAAUAUUGCACAAUGGGCGCAAGCCUGAUGCAGCCAUGCCGCGUGGAUGAAGAAGGCCUUCGGGUUGUAAAGUACUUUCAGCGAGGAGGAAGGUGUUGAGGUUAAUAACCUCAGCAAUUGACGUUACUCGCAGAAGAAGCACCGGCUAACUCCGUGCCAGCAGCCGCCGUAA